CCUACGGGUGGCAGCAGUGGGGAAUAUUGGGCAAUGGGCGCAAGCCUGACCCAGCAACGCCGCGUGAAGGAAGAAGGCUUUCGGGUUGUAAACUUCUUUUCUCAGGGACGAAACAAGUGACGGUACCUGAGGAAUAAGCCACGGCUAACUACGUGCCAGCAGCCGGGGUAAUACGUAGGUGGAAAGCUUUAUUCGGAUUUACUGGGUGUAAAGGGCGUGUAGGCGGUACCGCAAGUCAGAUGUGAAAACCACGGGCUCAACCUGUGGCCUGCAUUUGAAACUGUAGUUCUUGAGUACUGGAGAGGCAGAUGGAAUUCCUAGUGUAGCGGUGAAAUGCGUAGAUAUUAGGAGGAACACCAGUGGCGAAGGCGGUGUGCUGGACAGCAACUGACGCUGAGGCGCGAAAGCGUGGGGAGCAAACAGGAUUAGAUACCCGAGUAGUC
rnacentral:rRNA from 1 species